GUGCCUGAUAAGAAACACGGAUCACACAUACGUCAUGUAGGUGGUGGAUCUGGUCGAUUUGACACACAGCGAGAUAGAUUAUUAACUCCACCGUCAUGCUGUUCCUGACAACGACGGUGAUGUUGCUGGUUGUGGCGUCAGUGACGGCCGUUUCUGAGUUGAAGAUCCUUGGUUUGCGGUGUUCCCAGACCGGCUCCACCGUCUCCUAUAUGACCAUGGGCGUUCCCGCCAGUCUCACCGUGGACCAGUACUGGAGCGGAAAGCAGACCAGUGGAGUUUCCCCUCCUGUGCAACUGGUACAGCAUCUCCAGCCUCGGCGGUACCGGCGACCUGUAUGAGUGCAUCCUUCUGGGCGACAGUCACGGCGUCUUCUCAGUCAGCAUCAACAACGGCACCGAGUGCCACAAAUCUUACGACUCCGUGACCUUCGACAGCUGUUCUCAGCCUAAGUAUGCGUGUCCUGUCUGAACAAUACUGACAAUAAAGUACUAUCAAAUUGCCUCCCAUUACAAUAUAGGCCAUAUCUGCAGCAUCCAGAAUACGACACGCUCAAGAAUGAAGCACCACUUACUACUUUCAAUCGCAAUGUAAAUUUCUUUCGUUUCUUAUGGGCUGACAAUAUACUGAAAAUAAUC